rnacentral:rRNA from 1 species
CCUACGGGAGGCUGCAGUGAGGAAUAUUGGUCAAUGGACGCGAGUCUGAACCAGCCAAGUAGCGUGAAGGAUGACUGCCCUACGGGUUGUAAACUUCUUUUAUAUGGGAAUAAAGUGUUCCACGUGUGGGAUUUUGUAUGUACCAUAUGAAUAAGGAUCGGCUAACUCCGUGCCAGCAGCCGCGGUAAUACGGAGGAUCCGAGCGUUAUCCGGAUUUAUUGGGUUUAAAGGGAGCGUAGGUGGAUUGUUAAGUCAGUUGUGAAAGUUUGCGGCUCAACCGUAAAAUUGCAGUUGAUACUGGCAGUCUUGAGUACAGUAGAGGUGGGCGGAAUUCGUGGUGUAGCGGUGAAAUGCUUAGAUAUCACGAAGAACUCCGAUUGCGAAGGCAGUUCACUGGACUGCAACUGACACUGAGGCUCGAAAGUGUGGGUAUCAAACAGGAUUAGAUACCCGAGUAGUC